GCUAAGGCAGCGCUGGCCAGCAGAACCUGCCCCAUGGGCAGCCGGACCCCAACUCGAGAUUCCCAAGGGGGAAAGGUCCCCCGGGCCCUGAAGGGAGGGCAGGGAGGGAAUUUGCACGUCGCUUUUCAGGCUCCGCCGAGCAGCAUGAACGGGACAGACUGCAAGCAGGUAGAGAAGAGCCUGGACGGGAGAGAAAACGGACUAUUCACAGCACCACAUGCUCUCUGAACUAAACUUCACUGCAUCACCUCAUGAAGAAAUACAAGAACCAAACGUGACACUCGGGGCUCAGUCCCCUUGGCCAGACUAGUCUGUCGCAUGAAUUCACUUAUUCACCCCUCGGGUCAGGAGCUUUCCUGACUUAGAACCCUCACGCUUAAUCCGUGCUUCACAAGGGUGGCACCCGCGGGCACACGCAGGGCCAUGGGGGUACCCAGGGGCAGCAAAGGGCUCAGGCUGGACACCCAGAGGCACACGCAGGGCUCUGGGUCACACCAAAGGGCAAACGGAGGGCCCCAGGAAGCACAGGAAGAGAAACGGAGGCCCUUGGGAGGCACCGAAAGGCUGUUUGGUGGCCCCUCGGUUGCUCCAAAAAGCCCAUCCCUGGGGACAUGGAAAGGCAAACAGAGACGGCUUGAGGAGAGGAGAGGAGGAGUCCCUGGGAAAGAUGAAAACCCGAAGGCCAGUCCCUCGGCGGGACAGCAAAAGGCCCAGCGAGGGCCCUGGGUGGGAACCCAAAGGGCCAUCAGGAGCCUUGAGGGGCCGAGAGAAUCAAUGCCCAGAACAAGGCGCAGCCUUCAACAGCAGCACCACUUGGGACUGUCCUAGGGCACGAGCACGGCUUUACAGAGCUGGUCCUGCCCCUCCAACAGCCUGGCCGCAAAGCUUUCCAAACAAGGCAAAGCCCGGGCUGCUUUUCUCUUCCCCACUUAUGAUUCCCUGUAGACCUGGGUCUUAGCCUGAGCGAGGCUGUAGGAGGGAGGAAGAGGCAGGAAAACAUUGCAUGGAAAUGCCCAGACACAGCAGGGCCUGGUGUGAAUCGCUGCAGAACUUCCUGGACAAUGGUUCUGGCGAAGUCGCCCAGUUCUGCAUCCAGCUGCCGAACUCUGGAGAUGGCUUUUUGAAUGCUCUCCUCAGCAAGCAUGAGCAGGAGAAGCGCCCAAAGGCUCUGCCCCUCUGGCCCUGGCAAACAACCGCCCGGUGAGCUCAGGCGGAGCCGUCCUUGAGACGUGGACAGACUGAUCCAGCGCCUUCCCCUGCUCCAGCACUUCCCGAGCAUGGUCUCUGCCAUCUCUGAGCUCCUGCUCUCCUGCCAGCACAGCCCGCAGCAGCGCAGGCCGUCUGCUCUGGGCGCUGCUCCGCUGGCAGCUGCAGGGACUGACACGAGCAGUGAAUGUGUUCCUUCACCUCUGUUUCCUUUCCUCUUCCUCCUCACAAGACCCUGCCCCAGCAAGUCCCUGCCGGUCCAGGUUGGAAACCCCACUCUGUCCGUAGCCCCGGGCACACGCAGGUCUCUGGUCGCCCAUGGCCAGGACACAAGUGCUGCGGGCCCUGCUCAGAAUCAGGCCGGGUGUUGCGGUAGCAGUGGGCGCUGCAGCCCCUGGCCCUCAGCACCUUCAAAGCAACGUGUGUCCCUUGGUGCCCUCUGCCAGGCGCAGCACGGCCGGGCAUCGCAGGAGACAUCGACAGCCCUUGGCUGGCACCUUCCUGCCCCAGCUCAGGCUGGCAGUGCGGAUUGGUUUGGGAAGAGUCCACUGGGCAUAACCCUCUGGGGUCUCUUCCAAAAGGCAGCAGGACACAGCCCCCCUUGACUCCAGUUCCUCAGCCCUAGUUUCCAGCUGCAAGUGAUCUCUCCUCCUUUCCCCAGGGCCAGCCCGGCCUGCAGUGUGGCUGUGGUGACCUCUGUGCCUUCAGCAGGAUGGAGAAGAGUGUUGGUCCUCACGCUGCCUUUUCACUAGUCCAGCUUUUCACCUCUUUGCUGCUGCUCUCUCCUGCCCUGUUCAUACUCUGGACGAGUUUUUGUAAAUAAUUUAUUUUUAAUGCAUGAACUACACUUUACAAACAAAUGAAUUGCAAUAGGUAUAUGUAAUAAACACCAAGAAGUGUAAGCCAUGAACACACUCAAUUAAGGGAUUGAUUGUCGAACAUCCAGCACACUGCAAUAAAAGUGCCUGCUUUUUAACGCUUGCAAAACACUGACAUUUCAGUAUCACGGGAUGUCUCCUGUCUUUCUUCCCGGUUGCGGAGGAUGCUGCUUUGCUUCACAGCAUCACAGGAGAGUUGAGGUGAGAAGGGGCCUGUGAAGAUGACCCCUCCAAGCCGGGCCAGGAAGGGCGGGGGCCACAGGCCUGUCCAAACGGGC